CAGUAGCCGCGGGAAUACGAAGGGGGCUAGCGUUGCUCGGAAUCACUGGGCGUAAAGGGUGCGUAGGCGGGUCUUUAAGUCAGGGGUGAAAUCCUGGAGCUCAACUCCAGAACUGCCUUUGAUACUGAAGAUCUUGAGUUCGGGAGAGGUGAGUGGAACUGCGAGUGUAGAGGUGAAAUUCGUAGAUAUUCGCAAGAACACCAGUGGCGAAGGCGGCUCACUGGCCCGAUACUGACGCUGAGGCACGAAAGCGUGGGGAGCAAACAGGAUUAGAUACCCCCGUAGUCCCUGUCUCUUAUAC
rnacentral:rRNA from 1 species